GAUGAACGCUGGCGGCGUGCCUAAUACAUGCAAGUCGAGCGAACAGAUGAGGAGCUUGCUCCUCUGACGUUAGCGGCGGACGGGUGAGUAACACGUGGAUACCCUACCUAUCAGACUGGGAUAACUUCGGGACACCGGAGCUAAUACCGGAUAAUAUAUUGCACCGCAUGGUUCAAUAGUGAAAGUCGGUUUUGCUGUCACUUAUAGAUGGAUCCGCGCCGCAUUAGCUAGUUGGUAAGGUAACGGCUUACCAAGGCAACGAUGCGUAGGCGACCUGAGAGAGUGAUCGCCCACACGGGAGCUGGAACACGGACCAGACUACUGCGGGAGGCAGCAGUAGGGAAUCUUCCGCAGUGGGCGGAAGCCUGACGGAGCAACGCCACGUGAGUGAUGAAGGUCUUCGGAUCGUGAAACUCUGUUAUUAGGGGAGAACAAAUGUGUAAGUAACUGUGCACGUCUUGACGGUACCUGAUCAGAAAGCCACGGCUAACUACGUG
rnacentral:rRNA from 1 species